rnacentral:misc_RNA from 1 species
AAAAUACUGUCAUCUAAAACCCUAGCCGGAAACUUAUCUGAGAUGGGCGAUUCUUCGACCGCCGGCAACGGAGACAAUCUCUCGCCGGCCUCUCCCAAACUUCCGAUUCCCGGCAAAAGAAACAUCCUCAUCACAAGCGCUUUGCCGUAUGUCAACAACGUUCCUCAUCUCGGAAACAUCAUCGGAAGUGUGUUGAGUGCGGAUGUCUUCGCGAGAUACUGUAGACUUCGGGAUUACAAUAUCAUAUACAUGUGUGGUACUGAUGAAUAUGGCACAGCUACAGAGACUAAAGCCUUGGAAGAAAAUUGUACUCCCAAGCAAAUUUGUGACAAAUAUCAUGCAAUCCAUAGAGAAGUGUAUAAAUGGUUUAAUAUAAGCUUUGAUCACUUUGGACGCACAUCAACUCCGCAACAGACCGAAGUUUGUCAGGCGAUCUUCAAAAAACUCUGGGAGAAUAAUUGGCUCUCUGAGAACACCAUGCAACAGCCGUACUGUGAGACAUGCAAAAAGUUUUUGGCUGACCGGCUUGUAGAGGGUAACUGUCCGACACCAGGUUGCAACUAUGAUUCUGCACGAGGAGAUCAA